rnacentral:tRNA from 1 species
AAUUUAAAUAGCUUAAAUUAAAGCCUAAUAUUGAAAAUAUUAAAAUGAUUUUUAAAUCUUUAAAU